UACGGGGGGAGCAAGCGUUGUUCGGAUUUACUGGGCGUAAAGGGCGCGUAGGCGGUCAGCACAAGUCAGUUGUGAAAUCUCCGAGCUUAACUCGGAAAGGUCAACUGAUACUGAUGUGCUAGAGUGCAGAAGGGGCAAUCGGAAUUCUUGGUGUAGCGGUGAAAUGCGUAGAUAUCAAGAGGAACACCUGAGGUGAAGACGGGUUGCUGGGCUGACACUGACGCUGAGGCGCGAAAGCUAGGGUAGCAAACGGG
rnacentral:rRNA from 1 species